CUGGAACACAUGGUCCCUCCCAACAUUAAGAAAGACAUAUUGGAGGAAAAGGACGUAAACCUGAUGUCCUUUUUGAUAGCAUCACAAGACCUAGUCGAAAAUAAAAUGUACAAUUACAGUGACCUGUCAGUGGUGCUCAAAGUGAAAGAUCCCAGACUAAACAAAAACUAUCCAUACCAGACCUCGUAAUAGCAUUCGGUUUGUACAGAGACGUAAUUUGCUUUAAUUUCCCCCAGCGCAGAGAGGAACUAGACCUGUACAUGCACAAAUUGGUAGACCUGGGGAACAAGUACAGUGGCAC